GAUGAAGAACGUAGCGAAAUGCGAUAAGUAAUGUGAAUUGCAGAAUUCAGUGAAUCAUCGAAUCUUUGAACGCACAUUGCGCCCGCCAGUAUUCUGGCGGGCAUGCCUGUUCGAGCGUCAUUUCAACCAUCAAGCCCCCGGCUUGUGUUGGGGACCUGCGGCUGCCGCAGGCCCUUAAAAGCAGUGGCGGGCUCGCUGUCACACCGAGCGUAGUAGCAUACAUCUCGCUCUGGGCGUGCUGCGGGUUCCGGCCGUUAAACCACCUUCAUAACCCAAGGUUGACCUCGGAUCAGGUAGGAAGACCCGCUGAACUUAAGCAUAUCAAUAAGCGGAGGA
rnacentral:misc_RNA from 1 species